rnacentral:rRNA from 1 species
UACGUAGGGUGCAAGCGUUGCCCGGAUUUAUUGGGCGUAAAGGGCGCGUAGGCGGUCCGGCGCGUCCGCGGUGAAAGCUCCCGGCUCAACUGGGAGAGGUCCGCGGAAACGGUCGGGCUGGAGCAAGGUAGGGGGUCGUGGAAUUCCCGGUGUAGUGGUGGAAUGCGUAGAGAUCGGGAGGAACACCAGUGGCGAAGGCGGCGACCUGGACCUGUGCUGACGCUGAUGCGCGAAAGCGUGGGGAGCGAUCCGG